rnacentral:rRNA from 1 species
GACGAACGCUGGCGGCGUGCUUAACACAUGCAAGUCGAACGAUGAAGCCGGAGCUUGCUCUGGUGAAUUAGUGGCGAACGGGUGAGUAACACGUGAGUAACCUGCCCUUGACUCUGGGAUAACUGCGGGAAACUGUAGCUAAUACCGGAUACGACCCUCGGAGGCAUCUCCUGGGGGUGGAAAGAAUUUCGGUCAAGGAUGGACUCGCGGCCUAUCAGCUAGUUGGUGAGGUAAAGGCUCACCAAGGCGACGACGGGUAGCCGGCCUGAGAGGGUGACCGGCCACACUGGGCCUGGGACCCGGCCCAGACUCCUACGGGAGGCAGCAGUGGGGAAUAUUGCGCAAUGGGCGAAAGCCUGACGCAGCAACGCCGCGUGAGGGAUGACGGCCUUCGGGUUGUAAACCUCUUUCAGCAGGGAAGAAGCGAAAGUGACGGUACCUGCAGAAGAAGCACUGGCUAACUACGUGCCAGCAGCCGCCGUAA